UGAAAGAUUUAACAUUGAGACGAGUGGCGAACUGGUGAGUAACACGUGGGUAACCUGCCCUUGAAGUAGGGGAUAACACUUGGAAACAGGUGCUAAUACCGUAUAACAACCAAAACCACCUGGUUUUGGUUUAAAAGACGGCUUCGGCUGUCACUUUAGGAUGGACCCGCGGCGUAUUAGCUUGUUGGUAAGGUAACGGCCUACCAAGGCGAUGAUACGUAGCCGACCUGAGAGGGUAAUCGGCCACAUUGGGACUGAGACACGGCCCAAACUCCUACGGGAGGCAGCAGUAGGGAAUCUUCCACAAUGGACGAAAGUCUGAUGGAGCAACGCCGCGUGAGUGAUGAAGGGUUUCGGCUCGUAAAACUCUGUUGUUGGAGAAGAACAGGUGUCAGAGUAACUGUUGACAUCUUGACGGUAUCCAACCAGAAAGCCACGGCUAACUACGUGCCAGCAGCCGCGGUAAUACGUAGGUGGCAAGCGUUGUCCGGAUUUAUUGGGCGUAAAGCGAGCGCAGGCGGUUUUUUAGGUCUGAUGUGAAAGCCUUCGGCUUAACCGGAGAAGUGCAUCGGAAACCGGGAGACUUGAGUGCAGAAGAGGACAGUGGAACUCCAUGUGUAGCGGUGAAAUGCGUAGAU
rnacentral:rRNA from 1 species